GCCAGACUCCUACGGGAGGCAGCAGUGGGGAAUAUUGCACAAUGGGGGAAACCCUGAUGCAGCGACGCCGCGUGAGUGAAGAAGUAUUUCGGUAUGUAAAGCUCUAUCAGCAGGGAAGAAAAUGACGGUACCUGACUAAGAAGCCCCGGCUAACUACGUGCCAGCAGCCGCGGUAAUACGUAGGGGGCAAGCGUUAUCCGGAUUUACUGGGUGUAAAGGGAGCGUAGACGGCAUGGCAAGUCAGAUGUGAAAGCCCGGGGCCCAACCCCGGGACUGCUCUUGGAACUGCGUGGCUGGAGUGCAGGAGGGGCAGGCGGAAUUCCUGGUGUAGCGGUGAAAUGCGUAGAUAUCAGGAGGAACACCGGUGGCGAAGGCGGCCUGCUGGACUGCAACUGACGUUGAGGCCCGAAAGCGUGGGGAGCAAACAGGAUUAGAUACCCCCGUA
rnacentral:rRNA from 1 species